UACAGAGGUCUCAAGCGUUGUUCGGAUUCAUUGGGCGUAAAGGGUGCGUAGGUGGCGCCGUAAGUCGGGUGUGAAAUUUCGGAGCUUAACUCCGAAACUGCAUUCGAUACUGCGGUGCUUGAGGACUGGAGAGGAGACUGGAAUUCAUGGUGUAGCAGUGAAAUGCGUAGAUAUCGUGAGGAAGACCGGUGGCGAAGGCGGGUCUCUGGACAGUUCCUGACGCUGAGGCACGAAGGCCAGGGGAGCAAACGGG
rnacentral:rRNA from 1 species